GGGGAAACGUAGCGUAGGAAUCUAGCGAGCCAACCUCCCACCCGUGUUUACUGUACCUUAGUUGCUUCGGCGGGCCCGCCAUUCAUGGCCGCCGGGGGCUCUCAGCCCCGGGCCCGCGCCCGCCGGAGACACCACGAACUCUGUCUGAUCUAGUGAAGUCUGAGUUGAUUGUAUCGCAAUCAGUUAAAACUUUCAACAAUGGAUCUCUUGGUUCCGGCAUCGAUGAAGAACGCAGCGAAAUGCGAUAACUAGUGUGAAUUGCAGAAUUCCGUGAAUCAUCGAGUCUUUGAACGCACAUUGCGCCCCCUGGUAUUCCGGGGGGCAUGCCUGUCCGAGCGUCAUUGCUGCCCAUCAAGCACGGCUUGUGUGUUGGGUCGUCGUCCCCUCUCCGGGGGGGACGGGCCCCAAAGGCAGCGGCGGCACCGCGUCCGAUCCUCGAGCGUAUGGGGCUUUGUCACCCGCUCUGUAGGCCCGGCCGGCGCUUGCCGAACGCAAAUCAAUCUUUUUCCAGGUUGACCUCGGAUCAGGUAGGGAUACCCGCUGAACUUAAGCAUAUAUAAAACGGGAAGAAAGGAAAUAUUU
rnacentral:misc_RNA from 1 species